UUCGUAGGCGGUGUGGCAAGUCGGGAGUGAAAUCUCUGGGCUCAACCCAGAGGCUGCCUCCGAAACUGCUGUGCUGGAGUGUGAGAGAGGCGCGUGGAAUUGCAGGUGUAGCGGUGAAAUGCGUAGAUAUCUGCAGGAACACCCGUGGCGAAAGCGGCGCGCUGGAUCACUACUGACGCUGAGGAACGAAAGCUAGGGGAGCAAACAGGAUUAGAUACCCUGGUAGUCCUAGCCCUAAACGAUCAGGACUUGGGGUGCCGCCCGGUUCGGGCGUCGUCCCGGAGCUAACGCGUUAAGUCCUGCACCUGGGGAGUACGGUCGCAAGACUGAA
rnacentral:rRNA from 1 species